rnacentral:rRNA from 1 species
AGUGAACGCUGGCGGCGUGCCUAAUACAUGCAAGUCGAACGGAGUGGCGCACGGGUGAGUCAUAUAUAGCUAAUCUGCCCCUUGCUGGAGGACAACAGUUCGAAAUGACUGCUAAUACUCCAUAGCAAGGGAUGAGACUAUAUCGUAUCAGCUAGUCGGUGGGGUAACGGCCGACCGAGGCUAUGACUCGUCACUGGUCUGAGAGGAUGAUCAGUCGCAGUGGAACUGAGGCACGGUCCAAACUCCUAGGGGAGGCAGCAGUAGGGUAUAUCGCGCAAUGGGCGAAACCCUGACGCAGCAACGGCGCGUGAAGGAUGACACUUUUCGGAGCGUAAACUCAUGUUGUUAGGGAAGCGGUACCUAACGAAUAAGCACCGGCUAACUCCGUGCCAGCAGCCGCGGUAAUUC